AUGGCCCUUUGUGACACCACCAUCAGUGAUGUCACAGCAGCCACAGGACAUGGGCGAUGUCACAAAAGCAGGACAGGGAACACAGAGCCGCAAUCCCACGGUGAGGCCCGUGGGGUGCAAACACCGCUAUUCCAGCCCCACCACAGCCCUGCUGAUGAGGUGUGGGGCAGCCCCAGUGGGACAAGGAGAUGUGGGGUUUUGGGGAGAGGUACCUGCAAACAGACUUUGUGCAUCUUGCAGGGCGAGAUGUCAUCGAAGGAGGACACUCCAGAGCCGGGCACCUCUGCUGCCAACACCAGCCAGGCGGCCCCGGCCGCGCCGCAGGACAGCAACCAGGAGAAUCCCGGGUGCCCGGAGUGCCAGCACAUCAGCACCGUGUGCACCAGCUCGUGCCGGCACUGCUUCUGCCAGCUGUGCACGUGGGACUGGAGCCUGGGCGAGGCCGUGUGCCCGCGCUGCCAGCGGCCCACACGCCACCCCUACCCCCAGCACGUGGCCCUGUACCACGAGGUGCAGGACCGGGUGUACAACAGCAAGCAGAGAUGGAGCAGCCACUAUGCACAGCAGCCAUGGAGCCUUUAUGGACACUUCAGACGUGGCAGGCCCUGGGAGAGGAGGAGAAGGAGAUCCAUGAGGUGGCCCCGCAAUGGCCGCCGGCAGUCUCGGCACACCCGAGGCAGCGACUCCUCAAGGUGGUGGCAGCAGCAGAGAAGGGCUUGGGAGGAAGCACUUGAAGAGGGACAAAUUCGAAGGUUUGAAUGGGCCAUCCCGGCCUCCUCACAGGGAAAUCAAUCCUGGGGCAGGUCCAGCAGGUCAUGGAGCCAGCAUGAGCAGCCAUGGGGCCACCGCAGGUGGAGCAGGGACAGGGAGCGUUCCCAUGGCUGGGACAGGCGACAGAGCAGACAUCUCCCCAGAGACACGUGGAGAGCGGGAAGACUCUGAUUCCUCCAGACAACGGCGUACAAGAAGGAGGCGAACCCGGGGCAGAUCCCACAGGAGAGGCCAGAACUCCCAGGGAACGAUGCCCCGCAACCACUCCGCAAACCAGAGGCGCUGGAGGAGCUGGGAUGAUGAUGACAGACACACUCCAAGGUCCCAGAGUGACACUCCCUCGAGGAGGAGUGAGAGACACCAGUGGGAAGACUGGGAUUCCCCCAGGCAACAGCAUGCGACAAGGAGGCGAACCCGGGGCAGAUCCCACAGGAGAGGCCAGAGCUCCCAAAGAGCCUCCCAGGGAAUGGUGCCCCGCGACCACUCCACAAACCAGAGGCGCUGGAGGAGCUGGAAUGCUGACCAGGGACAAGCUCCAGCGUCCCAGCAGGACAUCCCAGGCUCCUCAGGGAGGAGCUGGCACCAGUGCAGGGACACAUAGCCCACCCUCCCAAAACAUGAAUUGCCACACUCAGGCUCAGCCCAGGGUGUCCAGGUAGGCUUUGGUGAUUUCCCAGGAUGGAGCCUCCAGAUCCCUCCUGGACAUCCCGUUCCAGGGCUUGACUUGCUGCAAAUAAACAAAUGCCACUUGAGCCA
rnacentral:lncRNA from 1 species